rnacentral:rRNA from 1 species
UACGAAGGGGGGCUAGCGUUGUUCGGAUUUACUGGGCGUAAAGCGCACGUAGGCGGAUUGUUAAGUGAGAGGUGAAAUCCCCGGAGCUCAACUCCGGAACUGCCUUUCAUACUGGCAAUCUAGAGUCCGGAAGAGGUGAGUGGAACUCCUAGUGUAGAGGUGGAAUUCGUAGAUAUUAGGAAGAACACCAGUGGCGAAGGCGGCUCACUGGUCCGGUACUGACGCUGAGGUGCGAAAGCGUGGGGAGCAAACAGG